UGUCAGAACUCAGCCACUCGGAGCUAGUGUGCCAUGUUCUCCUUCAUAAUGGGCUCUAUGGAAAAUGAAAGGAUAAAUGAAUGAGUUUGAAAUUAGCAUUUGAGACACUAUUUGGCUAUGGUGCAGAAGCAGUUGACUGAAAGAUCAUAGAUAUUUAACCACUUGAUCAGCUGGAAGCUAGAAAAAAUUUUACUGAGACUACAAAUAUUGGUAACUCACAAGCUGCAAAAUGGUAAGGUAUUUCUUCCACCACAGGUACUUAGCUACUGCUGGGCCCAGGGCAGAAAGCCCAUAAUAUGUGUACAUCAGUACAUGGAUGAAGCUAUUAGCCAUUGCUGGAAGGAAGGCUGAAAAACAAGGAUACAUACCUUAAAUACUAAUCCAAAUAGACUGGUCACCUGAUGCAAGUCUUUUGAGUUGACGCCACUUUGACGACUUGUGCAUCAAUGGGGAUGAGAUGAUGAUGAAGAAGACAACACAACACCCAGUACCUGAGCGGAGAAAAUCUCUGACCCAGCCGGGAAUCGAAGCCUGGCUCCUUGGCAUGACAGUCCAUCGCACUGACCACUCAGCUAUCGGGGCGGACAAAUUUUCAUAUAAAGACAUCAAUUCUGAAAAAUUAUAUUCACUGGAAAGGUGCUUAUAUUUAUUGAUAUUCUAAUUCUUGUGGACAA